rnacentral:rRNA from 1 species
UACGGGGGGGGCAAGCGUUAUUCGGAAUUACUGGGCGUAAAGGGCGCGUAGGCGGCCUGAUCAGUGAGAAGUGAAAGCCCUCGGCUUAACCGAGGAACGGCUUCUCAUACUGUCAGGCUAGAGUGCAGAAGAGGAGGAUGGAAUUUCCGGUGUAGCGGUGAAAUGCGUAGAGAUCGGAAGGAACACCAGUGGCGAAGGCGAUUCUCUGGGCUGCAACUGACGCUGAGGCGCGAAAGUGUGGGGAGCAAACAGG